GUGAAGAACGUAGUGAAAUGCGAUAAGUAAUGUGAAUUGCAGAAUUCAGUGAAUCAUCGAAUCUUUGAACGCACAUUGCGCCCGCCAGUAUUCUGGCGGGCAUGCCUGUCUGAGCGUCAUUUCAACCCUCAUGCCCCUAGGGCGUGGUGUUGGGGAUCGGCCAAAGCCCGCGAGGGACGGCCGGCCCCUAAAUCUAGUGGCGGACCCGUCGUGGCCUCCUCUGCGAAGUAGUGAUAUUCCGCAUCGGAGAGCGAUGAGCCCCUGCCGUUAAACCCCCAACUUUCCAAGGUUGACCUCGGAUCAGGUAGGAAUACCCGCUGAACUUAAGCAUAUCAAUAAGCGGAGGA
rnacentral:misc_RNA from 1 species